rnacentral:rRNA from 1 species
UAAUACGAAGGGGGCUAGCGUUGUUCGGAAUUACUGGGCGUAAAGCGCACGUAGGCUGAUAGUUAAGUGAGGGGUGAAAUCCCGAGGCUCAACCUCGGAACUGCCCUUCAUACUGGCUAUCUCGAGUCCGGAAGAGGUUAGUGGAAUUCCCAGUGUAGAGGUGAAAUUCGUAGAUAUUGGGAAGAACACCAGUGGCGAAGGCGGCUAACUGGUCCGGUACUGACGCUGAGGUGCGAAAGCGUGGGGAGCAAACAGG